CAAAGAAGAUAUCACAUGAAUAUGUUAAUACACAUAUAACAUGAUUCAAGUUACAUAGAUGGAUUAUGCGUAUUUAAUUUUGUCAAACAUGGGGAUGAAUAUAUUCAGACAUCCACGCUUGCUCUUAUUUUAUGAGCUGAAGCUUGGUAUUAUAAAUGCCAUAUAAAAUAAUUAUAAUAUGGCCCCAACAAAGUUAAAUGUGAGAUUGAAUUGAGUAGAUAUUUAUCCAAGUAAGAGUGGGCUAAGAUGAGUAUUUAAUAUAGUGGUACAGUGAGGUGUUGGAUUCCAAGAGCUCCUUUCUCUCUGAUUGCUAUUGUCCCCUGCGUCAAUUGCCUUCCAAGCUAAGAGCUGCAUCACCAACUCUUGACCCAAUAUCUUGGCUACCUAUAGCAUAUAAAAUGGAAUAUACAGAAGCCAUCAACCGAAAGUUCACCCAAGAUUAUUUAUUCCACCAAGUUCGUGGACGCCAUUUUGGUAAAGUGUCGGGUCAAGCUCUUUACUUGAGCACUUCAAGAUUUCAAGAAACCCCUUCAAGAGCACCAAAAUCCUAAAAGAGGGAUUUUCAAGAUUUAAAUGUUUUGAGGUAAUUCCAGCUACUCAAACUAGUUACUUAUGAGUAGUUGAGAAGAUUUGUAUCAUUUGUUUCAAGUCGUAUUAAUUGGAAGGCGAAUUACGGAACCCCUAACUUAUGGCAUGAAUAGUGUUUAUUUUAAAUUGAGAAGAUGAUGAAUCACUAUCAUGGGUAUUUAAUAGUGAACUUUUAAGACCCCAUUGUUGGAUGGUUUGAGUUGAUUGAACAUGGUGCCACCUAAAUUGGAGAAAUACGGGACCUUGAGAAUUAUAUCCAAGUGUUAGACAAUUAAUUAAUUAAAUUAUCAUCAUUGUGAUACUUAGUUGAUAAAUAUGAAUUCGUUUAUGUAGAUUGAAAUCAUUUGGGUCGUUUGACCCGUUCUUUGACAUUUGGAGCUAACGAUUGGUAAUGUCAAAAAUACAUUGAGGUCUAGCAGGCGGUCAGGUGCAAGGUGGUCAGAGUACGGGCUAGGAUUUCCUACGGGUUCAUACUUUUGGUGAGUCCACAUUUGAGAUCGUGGGAUUCACACUGUCAUAUUUUCAUUUUUGUUUGGCGCGAGCUAGUUUCGCAACAUUAUUAUUUCAUUCAUACUUUCAUAGAGGCUCCGUAGAUGUACUUGUACUACUUUUGGAUUAGAGGUGUCUGUUUAGAUUUGCAAAUAACAUCAUCAUUUUAUGAUUUGGUUAAUGAGCAUGUUGAUUUAAUAUUAUUCACUUCGACUUAUUCACUCAAUAUUGAUAUUAAUUAAUUGAA